rnacentral:lncRNA from 1 species
GAAAAAGGUCCCAUCUGGAGACCUGCUUUGCAAUACUUUCCUCUUCUAACCACAUCACCUGACAGAAUCUAGAAGAUCCUGCUUUGGGUAGGUGAGACCUAAAUGCUUUUGUCACCUUCUUCUAUUCCAGUGAGGAGCUGAGUGAGAUCCAAGAAGAAAAUGCUUCCUUCGGUAUCCUGGGUAGGUGCUCCUCCAGAAGCAGGGGUUCUAGGAAGAGGUCAAGACAAAGAGUGGAGAGAAGGAUGCCCAUAGCCUUUCUCAGAGGGGCUUAGAUUUGGAUUCUAUCUCCCACAGCAUCAUCUGUGACUGCCUUGCUCUUGGCACAGUGUGUGAAGCGUCUUCUCUAGAAGAAACUAGUACAGCCAGGUCAUCGUCACUCCAUGUAAGAUGGUAAUUGCAGCAGUCAGUGCUCAGCUUGACGUUCUGACACAGGACUAAGGUAUGGGCUCCAUUUCUGCAUAGGUAACUCAUUGGCCUACUGAACCAGUAAGUGACACUCAUGGACCAGUAAGUGACACAGUUACUUUUAUUCUCUUGACUGACACAUUAGUGGGCUGAGCUCAACAUGUGAUCUAGAAAACAAUCGAAAAGCUAACAUCAAGGACUGGGAGUUCUGCUGAGGAAAUGAGUUCCUGUCCCAGAACUCAUGCUUUGUUUUGUGAAGAUGGAAAAACAUCUGUACGGUGCUACACUCUGUGGGAAAACCAGCGCUCGGGAAAACGGGCACAGAGGGAUCCCUGGGGCUCACUGCUCAGCCAAACUAGCAUAUUUGGCAAACUUCAGGCCAGUAAGUGAGCCACCAACAAAAGGUAUGCAGAGAGCACUUAAAGAAGACCCCUGACAUGAGCACACAUGUGCUGCUUCAUCACACAUGUGUGUGCAAACACACGUAUACACUUUUAAAAAAAAUGAUGUCAAAAAACAAUUCCUAGGAAUUUGUCAAUGAUAGGUUUAGAAAUCAAAUAGAUAGCUUUCAUCCACGCAUAGUACCUACUAUUUCUCCUUGUAAAUCAAUAUUCCUCCCUGGCUCCCUGGCUCCCUGGCUCCCUGACUCCCUGGCCUCCUGGGUCCCUGGGUCCCUGGUUCCCUGGCUCCCUGGCUCCCUGGCUCCCUGGCUCCCUGGCUCCCUGGCUCCCUGGCUCCCUGGCUCCCUGCCUCCCUGCCUCCCUGCCUCCUUGCCUCCCUGCCUCCCUGCCUCCCUGCCUCCCUGCCUCCCUGGUUCCCUGCCUCUCUGCCUCCCUACAUUUUUUUCCUCCCUGCCUCUCAUGGAAGUAGCUUUCCACAAUUGCUCCACAUCUGUUGGGAGCCAACUCCUAGCAGAAAGCAGCUAUCAUCUCUGCAGCCAUCUCAGGCUAUUUACUUACAGGUGGUACUUUUCCACCCUGAUGAGAGACUUGUUUUCCUAGCAUGAUGUUUUUGAAAGAAGCCCACCACAGCUGAAAAUACUCUGAUAACAUCUUGUUUUUCUCCUAUACACCCUGGACUGUGGUUAAGUGUCUCCAACUGCACUCCCCAGCUUGUGCUUAUAUACUCAUAGUUGCCUUCCAAUAAAUGAGACUCAAG